rnacentral:rRNA from 1 species
UAUUCCCUACGGCAGGCAGCAGUAGGGAAUCUUCCACAAUGGGCGAAAGCCUGAUGGAGCAACGCCGCGUGGGUGGAGAAGGUCUUCGGAUCGUAAAACCCUGUUGUUAGAGAAGAAAGUGCGUGAGAGUAACUGUUCACGUUUCGACGGUAUCUAACCAGAAAGCCACGGCUAACUACGUGCCAGCAGCCGCGGUAAUACGUAGGUGGCAAGCGUUAUCCGGAUUUAUUGGGCGUAAAGGGAACGCAGGCG